rnacentral:lncRNA from 1 species
CUGGAGGUCUUACAUCCCUUCUUCUCCCUUUCAUCCUAAAACCCUCACUCUGUCACUCACGGACACAGGAACCACCAACCUUAAAUUUUCUUCUUCCAACUCCAAAAUGCAAACAAUGAAAUGACAGAACCCAUUUCUCAUUUCCUUCCCAAAAACCUUCCCUAAUUCUCAGCCCAACCACCAUGAGACCCAUUUCUCCAAAAACCCUCUACCGCCUAUCCUCCUCUUCGCCAUCCGCUCCUCCUUUUCUCCUUCAGAUUUCUCACCUUGAUAGGAGCAUAUUUAUGUGACUUAGUUGGCUUGUUCUUAAGCAUUUAUGUUGUUUUUCUUUAGUUAUUUUAGUGUUUAAAGUCAUUUUCGUGCAAUUUCAGGUUUAGAGAUGAAGUAUGCAAAGAAGUGCAAAAUGGAGCAUUUUAGAGCAAAAUUGAGCUAGAAUGGAGUGUAUGCUAAUGGAGCACAAGGAAUGGACGAGUUUGAAGGUCAAAGGAGCUUAAGAAAUGAAGAAAUGAAAGUGAAGAACAAAGAAUUCAGAUUUGGAAACCAAAGUUUCUAAAGUUGGAAGUUUCUAUUCUUGGAGGUUUCCAUUUUCGAGAGUUUCUAUUCUUGGUUUUGGGCUUUUAGAUGACCUAAACCCUAAUUCCUUGUGGACCCUAACCCUAGCCGCACCUAGGCCUCUAGAAUAUCUGAUUUCCUUGCCUUGCAAGGCAUUCUAGAAGGCCCAUCUCUAAACCCUAACCCUAGCCGCACCUUAGGCCUUAUUCCCACUAAAAAUCUGAUUGUUUUAACCUAAUUUCUGGUGGAUUUGGGCUUCUAGAAACCCUAAUCUGAUUACCCUAGGGUUUUGGAUGCCUAUAUAUACUCAUUAUAACCCCUAGAUCAGAUCACCACCUCUCAUACACAAUCAUUCACGCCAGAAAUCUGCCCUUGCAUUCUGCCGCACCUUCCCAUCACCAAAAUCCCAAAAUUCUGCCCAAAAAUCAUCCCUAGCCGUACCCCCAUCAACCCUAAACCUUUCCCUACCAUUCCCCAUCCAUUCUACACCCUAAAUACCACCCAAAACCUGUUCUAAACUUCUAUGCCGCAGCAAGGAGGAAAGGGAAAUCAUUGAUGAUCUUGCUGCCAAGUUGGAGCCUUCUAGGUGUUUUCUUUCUUUGGGUUUUAAUUUCUAAAUUUAUGUAUCUUUGCUUUGCGAGUAUGAGGAACUAAACCCCUCUUGGCUAGGGGGGAUUCGAAACCAUGUUUACGCUUGCUAUAUGAUUUGAUUACUUCUAAUUGGGUUUCAUAAGUUGUGAUUUCAAUUUACUUAUCUAUGUGAAUUAAAACUUAUUCUUGUAUGUUGAUUGAGGGUCGACACUUAGUUUGCAUGCAUGAAUUUGAUGCUAGGAUAUAAGGGAAUUUCACCUAAUCGUUAUGAACUUAUAUUCACAAGUAGUAAAGGUUGUUGAUCACAAUCGUGUUAAGUAAAUUCUUGGCAUAAGUUUCAUGCAAUUCAUAGUUACGAGUGCCUCGUCAAUACUUAUGGUUUUCAUAGAACUUAAUGAUUCUUGCUUGUAUCUCUAUUAUGCAAUCAUGUAGGGGACUUGUGGGGAAUGCUUUGGGUUGUCGUAUGCAAUCAUCCAAUUCAAUAACGUUAGGAAAAUCUGAAGGUUAAUUUAAGCGGACCUAAUUAACUUGGGGCGUUGAGAAUUCAUGGGUUAUUGAAAAGCAAUUGGAAAUCGUUUUGAAUGCAAGUAUAACAUGUGUGGAGAUGAACCCCUUAGCUAGCUUUCUAUCCAUUCAAUUCAAUCAAAUUCGUUUUAAAAUCUGUUUUGAUUUACAAGUUUAUGUUUUGUUUUCAAUUUCGUAAAAACCAAAUCCCCCUUUGUUUUCAAGUGUCAAAUUAGUUAGAGAGUGUGUUAGUUUGUGUUUUUAAGUGUUUUGAGUCAAGUUAAAACCUAUUUUCGUCAAAAUCUUGUUUAGAGUUCAAAACUGCCCAGAAAGUGGUUUUAAGGCAGUUUUGAGUGUUUGUUUGCUGUUUUGAGUCUUUUGGUUUGUUUUAGUGUUUUAAGUUAUAGUUUUACAUUCUUUGAGUCUAGUUUAGUGUUUUAAACUUUGUUUUUACGUUUUUGAGUCAGUUUUCAAGUGAUUUAGCAAUCCCUCCUAAUCCCCGGCCUAGAACGAUCCCUACUUACAUACUUACUACAAUUGAUAAAAAGAGGAUUAAUUUGAGUGCCAGUUAAUAUCAUAUCACACCUCUCAACCUCUUCACCAUCCCAUCAUUCGCACGCUCACUCUUCCUUCGGACGCCAUGACGAGGAGGUUCGGGACGUCAGGGUUUCGGUUUGGUGGGACUUUGAAAACUGCAAUUUGCCGGCUGGUGUAAACGUCUUCAAGGUAGCG